GGGUGGGGAGGCGCCUGCGGGCGUCGGCGAGCUCUCGGGUCACAGGUGGGAGCUCGCCCUGGGGCAGCCUGCGCGCCUGUGUCCGCCUGUCCGGUCCGUUUCCCUCCUUCUGAAUUUGGAAACUGUCGAGACGAUGAUCAGGGAAUAAGUAACUACUCUGAAUGCUAUCAAACGCAGUUUCUUCAGAUGCAAAGAAGCACCGCGGGAGACGUUCUGUUCCUUCAGAAUAACUGGACCCACUGGCAAGAAGCAGCUACACUGAGCACCAAACGAGGAAACCGUUUCCAAGUUAUCAAAACAUGCUGUUGAACUAAAUUUUGCA
rnacentral:lncRNA from 1 species